rnacentral:lncRNA from 1 species
CUGCAAGAGAUAAAAAUGGAGUAGUUUUGUUUGCUGGCUAUAAGAAAUGUAGCAGAAGACUAAGAGUCAGAUUCUAUUAAGUGUUUAGUUCCUUCUAUGUUUAUCCCUUAGUUUGGUAAGGAUAUAUCAGCAACAGAGUGAAAUCCAGUCUUGUUGAAGUCAAUAGGCGUUUUGGCAGGAUUUCAUCUCAAGAUGCAUACAAACGUUUUAAAAUUUCUAUGAAAAAUAUAACUUCAUGGAGCAACACAACAAAAGCAACAUUAUAUUUCAUGAAUAAAUCUAGCCAUCAUUGAGAAAUAAUGGUCAAGAGGAUCUUGGCACUCCUUCUGUACAGACAUGAAGAAACAAAGAGUAUCCACUUACAUAUCAGGUAAGUAGAGCUAGUGCUGUUUUAUCUGAAGUUUAGUUGUGAAGGUCUUACGCCCUAACCCAAGUUUUUUUCUCUCUCUGUUCUGCUCUAUAUUUGAAACUGUUAGUCUGCUGAAGUUGAACCUCCUCUUCAGAGCAGACAAAUAGUUGGAGAAGCAGGAGAAACCCAGCAAUGUCCAG